rnacentral:rRNA from 1 species
CACGUAGGGGGCGAGCGUUAUCCGGAUUUAUUGGGCGUAAAGCGCAUGCAGGUGGUUCCGUAAGUCGGAUGUGAAAGCCUCUGGCUUAACUGGAGGAGGUCGUUCGAUACUGCGGAACUAGAGGUCGGAAGAGGGAAGCGGAAUUCCCGGUGUAGUGGUGGAAUGCGUAGAUAUCGGGAGGAACACCAGUGGCGAAGGCGGCUUCCUGGUCCGUACCUGACGCUAAGAUGCGAAAGCGUGGGGAGCGAACGGGAUUAGAUACCCCCGUAGUCCCUGAGCGGGCU